UUGAAAUCAAAAUCAAAUACUUAGUCUAAGGAGGAACGAUUUGACGCACACGAAAGCAUUUUAGAAAGGUCUUUACAAAAUGCUAAACCGUAGCGACGAAAAUUAAUUUCCAAAAGUUUCAACUUCUUCCACCUUUCAUCAAACUCAACCUUCUUUGUUUUGUCCAGUAAAUUCCUAACUCUCAUGAACAUUUUGUUCAAAUCAAAGUCCUCUAAUUUUUUUUUUCUUUCUGGUAUCUAAACUUUCUUAGAAAAAUUAAAUAAUCAUACGCCGUGUUUACGAAGAAAAAUUGAAAAUCUUCUUUUCAUAUUCUUAUCAAACUUAAUUUUCCAAUUGCGAAUCUUCUCUUUAAG
rnacentral:lncRNA from 1 species